CAUGCAAGUCGAGGGGCAGCACAGGUAGCGAUACCGGGUGGCGACCGGCACGGGUGCGUAACACGUACACAACCCAACCCCCGUCCGGGGGACAGGCCGCCGAAAGGCAUUAACCCCCCCAUGGAACGCGUGUCCCGCAUGGGAUGCGCGUCAAACCCCGGGGACGGACGGGUGUGCGGACGAUUAGCUAGUUGGCGGGGCAACGGCCCACCAAGGCGACGAUCUAGCUGAUGUGAGAGCAUGGUCAGCCACACGGGCACUGAGACACGGGCCCGACUCCUAGGAGGCAGCAGUAAGGAAUAUUGGUCAAUGGGCGCAGGCCUGAACCAGCCAUGCCGCGGAGGACGAAGGCCCUCCGGGUCGUAAACUCCUUUUACCCGGGACGAAAAAAGCCCUUUAGGGCACUUGACGGUACCGGGGGAAUAAGCACCGGCUAACUCCGUGCCAGCAGCCGCGAAUACGGAGGGUGCGAGCGUUAUCCGGAUUCACUGGGUUUAAAGGGUGCGCAGGCGGGUUUAAGUCAGCGGUGAAACCCGCGGGCUCAACCCGCGGACUGCCGAUGAUACUAGGGG
rnacentral:rRNA from 1 species